GACGAACGCUGGCGGCACGCUUAAAACAUGCAAGUCGAACGUGAAGCCCAGGCUUGCCCGGGUGGAAAGUGGCGAACGGGUGCGUAACACGUGAGCAACCUGCCCCGAAGACCGGGAUAACACCGGGAAACCGGUGCUAAUACCGGAUGCCUUCACCAUGUCGCAUGGCGAGGUGAAGAAAUGGAUUCCGCUUCGGGAUGGGCUCGCGGCCUAUCAGCUUGUUGGUGGGGUAACGGCCUACCAAGGCAACGACGGGUAGCUGGUCUGAGAGGAUGUCCAGCCACACUGGGACUGAGACACGGCCCAGACUCCUACGGGAGGCAGCAGUUAGGAAUCUUGCGCAAUGGGCGAAAGCCUGACGCAGCGAUGCCGCGUGCGGGAUGAAGGCCCUCGGGUCGUAAACCGCUUUCAGCAGGGACGAUAAUGACGGUACCUGCAGAAGAAGCCCCGGCCAACUACGUGCCAGCCGCCGCCGUAAUAC
rnacentral:rRNA from 1 species